ensembl:snoRNA LOC120102741 small nucleolar RNA SNORD88
UCUCUCCCAUGAUGUCUAGUACUGGUUCCAGUCAUCCUUGAGGACACGUGUUUCCUAGAACCUUUGACACCUGAGAAUCUGAAGGGUUC